GCAUUCUUAGCUCAGUCGGAUAGAGGAGCAACAACCUUCUUAGUUGAAGGUCACAGGUUCAAAUCUUGCAGGAUUCA
rnacentral:tRNA from 1 species